AAGGAUGUUUAAUGUCAAUUUCUUUCCGCUUUCAAAGGCAGCGCGUCUAGUCGGAGAAGACUGAACGACGACUCCGGUAAACUUGUUGACAGCAACCCCUAGAAAAGCAUCGCUGUGUACACGAAAAAUUGAACUAUCUAUUUAAUUAGUAUAGACACGUGUUUGUUGCUGUAAAAACGCAUACCGACAGGGCUUUUUAAUGAAAUAAUUCUCCCGCUAUUAAUGGAGCCUUGUUCACAAUAGCGCAAAUAAAGAUACUACGUCAGACUGCGUAAAGAAGUUGCGCGGUGGUUUGAAUUCUCUAGUCAUUUGCAAGCUGAAACCCUUUGAUGAUGAUAGAACAAUGUGUUUCAACAAGUCUAAUAUUUCAGAAAAUAACUUUAAUGAACUUUGCAUAAAGACAGGCUAUGAACGUGAAAAGAAUAAUGUAGAAAUGUACACGAAAGAGCUGAAGAAAAUAGAUACAAUA